rnacentral:rRNA from 1 species
UACGUAGGGGGCGAGCGUUGUCCGGAGUUACUGGGCGUAAAGGGCAUGCAGGCGGUCGGAUGCGUUUCGGGUGACAGCGGGUGGCUUAACUACCCGAGUGGUCGAAAGACGGUUUGACUUGAGGACGCGAGAGGGACACGGAAUUCCGGGUGGAGUGGUGAAAUGCGUAGAGAUCCGGAGGAACACCGAAGGCGAAGGCAGUGUCCUGGCGCGUAACUGACGCUGAGGUGCGAAAGCCAGGGGAGCGAACGGG